rnacentral:misc_RNA from 1 species
UGUUCGAGCGUCAUUACAACCCUCAAGCUCUGCUUGGUAUUAGGCUUCACCCUUAGGGGUGAGCUUUAAAAUCAGUGGCGGUGCCAUUUGGCUUCAAGCGUAGUAAUUUUCUCGCUUUGGAGACCAGGUGUGUAUUUGCCAAUAACCUCAUAUUUUUAAAGGUUGACCUCGGAUCAGGUAGGGAUACCCGCUGAACUUAA